UGCCGGCAGCCGCGGUAAUACAGAGGGUGCGAGCGUUGUUCGGAAUUAUUGGGCGUAAAGCGCAAGUAGGCGGCCUGGCAAGUCGCGUGUGAAAGCUCCCGGCUCAACCGGGAAAGUGCGCGCGAAACUGCUGGACUUGAGUUCCGGAGAGGGUGGCGGAAUUCCCGGUGUAGAGGUGAAAUUCGUAGAUAUCGGGAGGAACACCAGAGGCGAAGGCGGCCACCUGGAAGGAUACUGACGCUGAGAGGCGAAAGCGUGGGGGGCAAACAGGAUUAGAUA
rnacentral:rRNA from 1 species